CCGAAGGUAGCUCAGCGGUAGAGCGGGAGACUGUAGUAUAUGCAUGGUGUAAUAUCGUGAUUCGUGUUGAAAUCUCUAGGUCCCUGGUUCAAAUCCGGGUCUUCGGA